rnacentral:lncRNA from 1 species
AAGGGAUGUUGUGGUGAGGGCAGUAACCCUGCCAGGAAAACAAAGUUAGUCUGCUUGGGGUGCCCAUCCUUCAACCCCAUUGAACUAAGGGCUGAGGAAGAAGAAAGUGUUUCACUGUAAAUGGAGAUGUCAGGACAAACUGUCACUGCAAUCACUAUACUACCAAUUAUUCAAGACAGACUCUGUUGCUAGGGUCUGGCUGAGAAAACACAUGGAACUUCUUCCCAGUUUUUAUCUCCACUAUCAGCUUGCCCUGUAAAGAUAUCUUCAUCCUGCUUUGUCUCCCCACUUUACUCUUCUUGUAUUUUUCUUCACAGUGUCUCCCUGAAGCCUUUUCCUCAUCCUGGGCUACUAAUCUCUGAGAUGAUAAACCCAGGAGAUGAAGUUUUUUCCUGCUGUGGCAGUCAGUUACAUUUUUUGUUCUUGUUCUGUCAGUUCUUCCAGCCUCACUGAUCUCCUCUGAAACACACAGGGCAGAGGACAGUAAAGAAGAACAGAAAGAGGGAGAAGUGAAGUCAUUGCCCAAUGCAGAAGAAGGCUCAAGUUACAUCUUUAGAUGGGAAAACUAUCAGAGGGACAGAGUACAGAACAGCCCACUAGAUGACACAAGAUGCGGCCAUCUGACAAAGACUGGGGAUGGACCUGGGCUUUCUGUUCUAAUAAUCACAAGUGCCAGUAACAGGACAGGAAGAGAGACUCAAACAUAAAUAAAUUAAUUAGCAAGGACAUUAUUUAUACACUGGGAAUUUCUAGUGUAUGUGGUGUCUGCUCUAAUAACCCACGGACAAAUCACCUCUUCUUGCUAUAACACCUCAGGGAGAGGACCAGAAGAGAAAGACAACCAUAAGUUUUCAUCUAAAGGAAAAAGGAUAAGAAGCAGCUUGAAAAUCUGCAGGGAAAGAUCCUGCAUAUUCAUAAAGAGCAGAACAAUCCAUAUGGACACCUGCCCCUCACAACGGCUUCUCUUGCUCCUGGCUACUAUUGUUCCAGAGUGAUCUGCAGUUAAUAUCAACAGGACUGUGGUACAUGGGCAUUUGAGUGCUCCAAGCUUGCUUUUUCCUAAUGCAACAAAACACAAAUGGCUGUGAAACUUUUUGGAGAAAAGAUUGACUUCAAGGAGCUCAACAAAAAUAAAAAGUCUCUUCCUUGCUUAUGUAUCCUUUGU